GACGAACGCUGGCGGCGUGCCUAAUACAUGCAAGUUGAGCGCUGAAGGUUGGUACUUGUACCAACUGGAUGAGCAGCGAACGGGUGAGUAACGCGUGGGGAAUCUGCCUUUGAGCGGGGGACAACAUUUGGAAACGAAUGCUAAUACCGCAUAAAAACUUUAAACACAAGUUUUAAGUUUGAAAGAUGCAAUUGCAUCACUCAAAGAUGAUCCCGCGUUGUAUUAGCUAGUUGGUGAGGUAAAGGCUCACCAAGGCGAUGAUACAUAGCCGACCUGAGAGGGUGAUCGGCCACAUUGGGACUGAGACACGGCCCAAACUCCUACGGGAGGCAGCAGUAGGGAAUCUUCGGCAAUGGACGAAAGUCUGACCGAGCAACGCCGCGUGAGUGAAGAAGGUUUUCGGAUUGUAAAACUCUGUUGGUAGAGAAGAACGUUGGUGAGAGUGGAAAGCUCAUCAAGUGACGGUAACUACCCAGAAAGGGACGGCUAACCACGUG
rnacentral:rRNA from 1 species